AGUUUGAUCAUGGCUCAGAGUGAACGCUGGCGGCAGGCCUAAUACAUGCAAGUCGAACGGCAGCACAGCAGAGCUUGCUCUGUGGGUGGCGAGUGGCGGACGGGUGAGGAAUACAUGGGAAUCUGCCCAGUCGUGGGGGAUAACGUAGGGAAACUUACGCUAAUACCGCAUGCGCCCUUCGGGGGAAAGCCGGGGGACCUUCGGGCCUGGCGCGAUUGGAUGAGCCCAUGUCGGAUUAGCUAGUUGGCGGGGUAAUGGCCCACCAAGGCGACGAUCCGUAGCUGGUCUGAGAGGAUGAUCAGCCACACUGGAACUGAGACACGGUCCAGACUCCUACGGGAGGCAGCAGUAGGGAAUAUUGGACAAUGGGCGCAAGCCUGAUCCAGCCAUGCCGCGUGAGUGAAGAAGGCCCUCGGGUUGUAAAGCUCUUUUGUCCGGAAAGAAAAGCGCCGGGUUAAUACCCUGGUGUCCUGACGGUACCGGAAGAAUAAGCACCGGCUAACUUCGUG
rnacentral:rRNA from 1 species